UACCAGCACCCCGAGUGGUCGGGACGUUUAUUGGGCCUAAAGCAUCCGUAGCCGGUUCUACAAGUCUUCCGUUAAAUCCACCUGCUUAACAGAUGGGCUGCGGAAGAUACUAUGGAGCUAGGAGGCGGGAGAGGCAAGCGGUACUCGAUGGGUAGGGGUAAAAUCCGUUGAUCCAUUGAAGACCACCAGUGGCGAAGGCGGCUUCUUGGGCCCUACCUGACGCUGAGGCGCGAAAGCCAGGGGAGCGAACGGG
rnacentral:rRNA from 1 species